rnacentral:misc_RNA from 1 species
UCAAUCCCUCUUCCGAUUCCAAUCUCAAGAGAAAUGGGUAGUGCUGGAAAUACUGGAGCCACUUACGGGGAGUAUACCUAUGAGAACUUGGAGAGGGAGCCAUACUGGCCCUCUGAGAAGCUCCGCAUUUCCAUUACUGGCGCUGGAGGCUUCAUCGCCUCCCACAUUGCCAGGCGGCUGAAGAAUGAGGGGCAUUACAUUAUUGCCUCCGAUUGGAAG